AUUGAACGCUGGCGGCAGGCCUAACACAUGCAAGUCGAGCGGAGCGGCGGACGGGUGGGUAAGGCCUAGGAAUCUGCCUGGUAGUGGGGGGUAAAGUACGGAAACGGGCGCUAAUUACGCCUACUAUCCGAUGGGCCUAGGUCGGAUGUGCUAGUUGGUGGGGUAAAGGCCUACCAAGGCGACGAUCCGUAACUGGUCUGAGAGGAUGAUCAGUCACACUGGAACUGAGACACGGUCCAGACUCCUACGGGAGGCAGCAGUGGGGAAUAUUGGACAAUGGGCGAAAGCCUGAUCCAGCCAUGCCGCGUGUGUGAAGAAGGUCUUCGGGUUGUAAAGCACUUUAAGUUGGGAGGCGUUACCAGCAGAAUAAGCACCGGCUAACUUCGUGCCAGCAGCCGCGGUAAUUC
rnacentral:rRNA from 1 species